AUUGAACGCUGGCGGCAUGCCUUACACAUGCAAGUCGAACGGUAACAGGUCUUCGGAUGCUGACGAGUGGCGAACGGGUGAGUAAUACAUCGGAACGUGCCCGAUCGUGGGGGAUAACGAGGCGAAAGCUUUGCUAAUACCGCAUACGAUCUACGGAUGAAAGCGGGGGAUCUUCGGACCUCGCGCGGACGGAGCGGCCGAUGGCAGAUUAGGUAGUUGGUGGGAUAAAAGCUUACCAAGCCGACGAUCUGUAGCUGGUCUGAGAGGAUGAUCAGCCACACUGGGACUGAGACACGGCCCAGACUCCUACGGGAGGCAGCAGUGGGGAAUUUUGGACAAUGGGCGAAAGCCUGAUCCAGCCAUGCCGCGUGCAGGAUGAAGGCCUUUGGGUUGUAAACUGCUUUUGUACGGAACGAAAAGCCUCUUUCAAAUAAAGAGGGGUCAUGACGGUACCGUAAGAAUAAGCACCGGCUAACUACGUG
rnacentral:rRNA from 1 species